UGAUCAUGGCUCAGGAUGAACGCUAGCGGCAGGCCUAAUACAUGCAAGUCGAACGGAUAUAUGUUUUUCGGAAUAUAUAUUAGUGGCGCACGGGUGAGUAACACGUACAUAACUUGCCCUCAAGCGGGGGAUAGCCUUGGGAAACUGAGAGUAAUACCCCAUAGAAUUAUUGGACGGCAUCGUUUGAUAAUUAAAACUACGGUGCUUGGGGAUAGAUGUGCGUCUGAUUAGCUAGUUGGUGAGGUAACUGCUCACCAAGGCGACGAUCAGUAGGGGGCGUGAGAGCGUGGCCCCCCACACGGGUACUGAGACACGGACCCGACUCCUACGGGAGGCAGCAGUAAGGAAUAUUGGUCAAUGGAGGGAACUCUGAACCAGCCAUGCCGCGUGAAGGAUGACGGCCCUCUGGGUUGUAAACUUCUUUUGGAUGGGGCGAAAAAACGGGAUUUAUCCUGGACUGACGGUACCAUCAGAAUAAGCACCGGCUAACUCCGUG
rnacentral:rRNA from 1 species